rnacentral:lncRNA from 1 species
CCUCUCUGUAGCUGACGGUGCGCUAGGACGAACAUGUUUGAGGCAUUGUAGUUUUUUCUUACAUGAGAUUCUGCCACACAGAGUCGUCGGUACCGUCGUCAUUUAAGAGAAAAACUGUCCUUUGUCCCAUCUUCACAUGGCAAACUGCAAUGUUUUUCUUGGAUAGAUGAGCCAUGAAACCACGAAGGAACGUUGACCUUUAACUGUUUGUCUUGGGAUGUUAAGGUGGUCUUUGUGGUAUUAGCCGGAAUGUUGGGCAUCUCUCUGUUUUUGAACAUCUAUUGCUGUACAUUGAGAUGCUCCUCAGGAAAAAAGGCAUGUCGGCGAAAAACAAAAAAAAGCCAAAGUUCAAGGCAAAUGGCAGAUAAUCCUAUUUAUGGAAACGUAAGCAGUGCAAGACAGGUUUUGUACACGGAAGUUGACGCUUCCCACCCAUUGCACAAGGAUCGACACAGAGUCAAUCUGAACGCACAGGAUUGCUAUGCCAACCUGACCCAGACUCCUCACCUGCAGUCCGGCCUCAGUUCUUCUCAAACAGAGGCCACCCAGUACUCAGAUAUAGUGGAUGUAGUAGAGGUGGAGAGGGAGAAGGUAGAGGAGUCCAUCACAGAUGAUGUUUCCAUUAUGUCUGAUCUUUAUGCUUCGGUGCAGACUCAGCGAACCAAAGCCAUCCUCUCAGCAGAUGGUGAGGAAAACUACGCCAAUCAUCUCUAGCAUGUCAGGCUGAAGACUAGAGAGCACCUUUUCAGCAGCUUCACCUUUCGCCACUAGAUGAUGUCCUUUUACACAGUAUAGAUAAAUAGAAUAAAAUAGUACAAAUGAAAAUGAAACCA